GCCGACAGGUGAACAAGCCUUGACUGGGUAUUGUACUGAAUAUCUUUAAUUCUAGAUGAGAUAAUUGACAGAUUAUAUACUUGGAACCCUUCCAUUGGCAGUGAUUUUACUUUAUAUCUUGAUUCCAUAACAUCAUCCCAAUGUCGCCAUGACAAAAUUUCAAUACAACUUGCAGUUCAUUCCUAUAAAAGAUCCAAAGUGUUAAUCAGACACUUCUCCACAGAAAAAUCUGAGAAGAAGAAGAAGGAAAGGGGCCGGAGCCAUGGCUCUGCGUUUGAUCCUCCUCCUGCAAAUUGCAGUACUGGUAUGGGCGAUGGAAGCUGCCGCUGAACUAGCCCUUCCGGGCUGUGCCAGCCACUGCGGCAAUAUCAGCAUCCCAUAUCCAUCUGGGACUACCCCAGAAUGCUAUCUAAACCAAGAUUUCUUCAUCAAUUGCAGCUCCACCCAUCAAGCUUUUUCGACGGACAGUGACAUAGAUGCUCUAUCGAUUUCAGUUUCGGGUCAAUUGCGAGUCCUUUCGUAUGUGGCUCGAGACUGUUACAACAAAUCCGGGCAAAGAGCCGCCAACAACGAUCCAUGGAUGACACUGGCGAAGUUCCCCAUCUCCCAUACUCGGAACAAGUUCAUGACAAUGGGCUGCGACACCUACGCCUUCAUUGAAGGCUCAAGCGGGCAAAGGUACAAGAUUGGCUGACUGUCACUGUGCGAGAGAAUUGAUAAUGUUAUCAACAGGUCCUGCUCGGGGAUCGGCUGUUGCCAGACCACAAUCCCAGCAAAUGUAAGGAGCUAUGAGAUCAGUGUGGAAAGCUACAACAACCAUAGAGAAGUAUGGGCUUUUAAUCCAUCCAGCUUCGUCUUUGUGGCUGAAGAUGGCGCUUUCAGCUUCUCCUCCACUGACCUCCUUGAUUUACAGAAGAAAACCAGGGUUCCUACAGUGCUUGAUUGGACAAUAAGAGAUGAGAAAUGCGACCAAGCAAAGGAGAAUGAAACAAGUUACGCCUGCAAGGACAAUAGCUACAGUUAUAACCCAGACAAUGGUCCUGGGUGUAGGUGCAGUUGCUCAGAGGGAUAUGAAGAAAACCCUUAUCUUCCUCAUGGUUGCAAGGAUAUCGAUGAGUGUGAGGUUGAUCACCCCUGCAAUGUAACACAUACAUGCCAGAAUUUACCAGGAAGUUAUAGUUGCUCUUGCUCAUGCCAGCUGGGUAUGAAGGUGAUAGCAAAAAAGAUGGCACAGGCUGCAGUCCCAUACCUAGCUCAGAGUUCAAAUUUCCUUCGAUUAAUGUUGUCUUAGGUAUUAGGGUAAGCCUUUUAGUUUUACUUUUGGUGAGUUCUUGGUUGUAUUGGGGAUUUAGGCAACAAAGCUUAUCAAAUUGAAAGAGAAAUUCUUUGAGCAAAUGGUGGUAUCAUGCUGCAACAACUACUCUCUAAGCACGAAGGAUUUGCCGAAGCAACUAAAAUAUUUGCUACAAAAGACCUCAAGAAAGCAACAAACAACUAUGAUGAAAGAAGAGUUUUAGGUCGUGGAGGUCAAAGAACAGUUUAUAAAGGAAUAUUGGCAGAUAAUAGAGUUGUUAUCAUUAAAAAGUCCAAAAUAAUGGACCAAAGCCAAGUUGAGCAAUUCAUUAAUGAAGUGAUUAUUCUCUCCCAAAUCAAUCCUAGAAAUGUGGUAAAGUUAUUGGGAUAUUGUUUAGAGACUGAAGUUCCUUUAUUAGUCUAUGAAUUUGUGACUAAUGGGACCUUUUAUAAUCAUCUACACAAUCAAGAUCAAGCAUCCUCUAUUUCAUGGGAAACUCGCUUACAAAUAGCAAUUGAAACAACUAGAGCCCUUUAGUAUUUACACUCUAUAACUU